rnacentral:rRNA from 1 species
AUUGAACGCUGGCGGCAGGCCUAACACAUGCAAGUCGAGCGGUUGACGGGAGCUUGCUCCCUGAUUCAGCGGCGGACGGGUGAGUAAUGCCUAGGAAUCUGCCUAUUAGUGGGGGACAACGUUUCGAAAGGAACGCUAAUACCGCAUACGUCCUACGGGAGAAAGCAGGGGACCUUCGGGCCUUGCGCUAAUAGAUGAGCCUAGGUCGGAUUAGCUUGUUGGUGAGGUAAUGGCUCACCAAGGCGACGAUCCGUAACUGGUCUGAGAGGAUGAACAGUCACACUGGAACUGAGACACGGUCCAGACUCCUACGGGAGGAAGCAGUGGGGAAUAGUGGACAAUGGGCGAAAGCCUGAUCCAGCCAUGCCGCGUGUGUGAAGAAGGUCUUCGGAUUGUAAAGCACUUUAAGUUGGGAGGAAGGGUUGUAGAUUAAUACUCUGCAAUUUUGACGUUACCGACAGAAUAAGCACCGGCUAACUCUGUGCCAGCAGCCGCAGUAA